rnacentral:rRNA from 1 species
CAGCAGUCAAGAAUAUUAGUCAAUGUCCGAAAGAGUGAACUAGCUAAACUGAAAUCACUUUAGAAGUGAUAAUGUAAGGGAAAAUAAUGAUAUUACCUUACUAUAAGUGUUGUCCAAAACUGGUGCCAGAAGACUCGGUAAGGCCAGAAACGCGAACGUUAGUCAUCUUAAACAGGCGUAAAGGGUUUGUAGGCAGCUUUGAAAUCCUGAUUUUUAAAAAAAUAGUGUCCUUUCCCCUCUGCAUGGCAAGCCCGUGCGAGGGGGGAUAGAAGCAUUCGUUCGCAGUGUACGUAGUACUAGGAUAAAAAAAAAGAGGGAAAUUAGAAGAUAGAAUCAAAUAUAGGAAAAUUCGAAUAAAUUCUAGAAGAGGGUUAAUAUCCGAAGAUACUAGAAUGAAUGCUUAAGGCGAAGGCCUUUUUCCAUAAAUGAUUGACGCUCAGAAACGAAGGAUAGGAUAGGAAACAGGGAUUAGAUACCCUGGUACCCCUUUCAGUCAACGAUGAAUGGUAGUCACUAAUUAAAGUAUUGGUGUCAAUGUUAACACGUUAACCAUUCCGCCUUGUGAGUACGAUUGCAAAAUUGAAAACAAAAAAUUAGUCGGUCCCGAAGCAAACGAAACGAAGUGAAGCAUGUUAUUUAAUUCAAUAAUCCG